rnacentral:lncRNA from 1 species
CUUUUCUAGUCGGAGGCUCGGUGGAUUAAACUUAAAUACCAGUUAGAUAGAAGGCUGCAGAGGAGAAUGGGAGGCAGCCUAUGCUUCCUUUGUGUGAAUCCAACAAUCCAGCCUUCUAGUAGAAACCACAGUGUAGCCAUAGCAGGCUACCUGUGUCUGUGUACCACACCCACACACCCCAGCUUGAGUUUCUAAGAUGCAGAAUAGAGGGAAGGGGCGGCUCUGGAGUCAGGAAGACAAGUCUUCAGGGCUUCUUGCUUUAUAAGUGAUAGGAACAUCUUGUCAGAGUCCAUGCUAAGCUAAUUUUUAACCUCAGCUUAAAAGUCUUUAAGCUCACCACAUUUCUCCCCAAGAGUAGCUCAAGCGUUGAGAAUCUGUUUUACAUAAUGUGACCUCAGAUUAUAUUAAAAUACCUUAGACUCACCCCUCAGUGAUGCCAGGGGCCAGCUUUUCAAAUGCUGAACUCAUCCAUGCGUCUCCUUGCUGUUGGUGACCUCAUGCUGAUUGUGAUGUUGGUUUGGAGCAGUAAGCUAAAGGCCCUGACUUAAGGUUGUAGUCUUCCCUGAAGAACACGGAGGUACCAGAUGCACAGUUCAAGUGUAGUGUGUCUUUCCUGAGUUUAUUGCCAGUUCCUUACUCCACACCUUCAUCUUGGUGUGUUCUCGGCAGGGAUCAGUGAAAGCACUGUCAGGACUCACAAAGCGGCCCAGAAAACAGAAGCUGUACUUAUAGCAUAAGCAGGAUGAAGUGCUGAAGGAGAGGAGCAGAUAAUAAUGACAUGGGAGUUACACCAAAGGACCAAUGACCACGCCUGGGAGUGUGUGUGUGUGUGUGUGUGUGUGUGUGUGUGUGUGUGGUGCCUUGGAGGUAUCCCAACAAGCGCUUGAUAGUGGAGAGAAUAUGGUGUGUACAGAGAGGGCCUGGUAGGGAGACUUGGAAGCAUGGAAGCAGAGAAUUGCAUGGCUGUGUUCAGGUCACAGGAAGAAAGAUGCAUGGUUUCACCAACACAAGGACACUUAGGUCAAGAGGAGAUAAAGAGUUAGAUCCUGCUCAGUUACAGGCGAUCACCUCCCCAAAGGAGUCUGCGUCCCCAUUACCAGCGGGUUCUCACUUCACACCGGGAGAGAGAAGCUGGGACCGCAACUACCAACUCCUGCCGACUGGAUCCUAGGUGAGCCGUUGACU